AGAGUUUGAUCCUGGCUCAGGAUGAACGCUAGCGACAGGCUUAACACAUGCAAGUCGAGGGGCAGCACAGGUAGCAAUACCGGGUGGCGACCGGCGCACGGGUGAGUAACGCGUAUGCAACUUACCUAUCAGAGGGGGAUAACCCGGCGAAAGUCGGACUAAUACCGCAUGAAGCAGGGGCCCCGCAUGGGGAUAUUUGCUAAAGAUUCAUCGCUGAUAGAUAGGCAUGCGUUCCAUUAGGCAGUUGGCGGGGUAACGGCCCACCAAACCGACGAUGGAUAGGGGUUCUGAGAGGAAGGUCCCCCACAUUGGUACUGAGACACGGACCAAACUCCUACGGGAGGCAGCAGUGAGGAAUAUUGGUCAAUGGCCGAGAGGCUGAACCAGCCAAGUCGCGUGAAGGAAGAAGGAUCUAUGGUUUGUAAACUUCUUUUAUAGGGGAAUAAAGUGGAGGACGUGUCCUUUUUUGUAUGUACCCUAUGAAUAAGCAUCGGCUAACUCCGUGCCAGCAGCCGCGGUAAUACGGAGGAUGCGAGCGUUAUCCGGAUUUAUUGGGUUUAAAGGGUGCGUAGGUGGUGAUUUAAGUCAGCGGUGAAAGUUUGUGGCUCAACCAUAAAAUUGCCGUUGAAACUGGGUUACUUGAGUGUGUUUGAGGUAGGCGGAAUGCGUGGUGUAGCGGUGAAAUGCAUAGAUAUCACGCAGAACUCCGAUUGCGAAGGCAGCUUACUAAACCAUAACUGACACUGAAGCACGAAAGCGUGGGGAUCAAACAGGAUUAGAUACCCUGGUAGUCCACGCAGUAAACGAUGAUCACUAGCUGUUUGCGAUACACUGUAAGCGGCACAGCGAAAGCGUUAAGUGAUCCACCUGGGGAGUACGCCGGCAACGGUGAAACUCAAAGGAAUUGACGGGGGCCCGCACAAGCGGAGGAACAUGUGGUUUAA
rnacentral:rRNA from 1 species